GCUGGGCACAGUGGCACAUGCCUGUAAUCCCAGCAACUCAGGAGGCUGAGACAGGAGAAUCCUGAGUUCAAAGGCAGCCUCAGCAACAGUUAGGCACUAAGCAACUCGGUGAGAACCUGUCUCUA
rnacentral:sRNA from 1 species